AUUGAACGCUGGCGGCAGGCCUAACACAUGCAAGUCGAACGAGUGGAUGACGGGUGAGAAAUGUCUGGUAAACUGCCUGAUGGAUGGGGAUGACUACUGGAUACGCUAGCUAAUACCGCAUACCAUCUGUUGUGCCUAGAUGGUAUUCGCUAGUCUGUUGGGCAAAGGCUCACCUAGGCGACGAACCCUAGCUAGUCUGAGAGGAUGACCAGGCACACUGGACGUGAGACACGGUCCAGACUCCUAAGGGAGGCAGCAGUGGGGAAUAUUGCACAAUGGGCGCAAGCCUGAUGCAGCCAUGCCGCGUGUAUGAAGAAGGACUUCGGGUUGUAAAGUACUGUAAGUGGGGAGGCGUUACCCGCAGAAGAAGCACCGGCUAACUCCGUGCCAGCAGCCGCGGUAAUAC
rnacentral:rRNA from 1 species